GACGAACGCUGGCGGCGUGCCUAAUACAUGCAAGUCGAGCGGAUGGAAGGAAGCUUGCUUCCUAAAGUCAGCGGCGGACGGGUGAGUAACACGUGGGCAACCUGCCCCUAAGAUCGGGAUAACUUCGGGAAACCGGAGCUAAUACCGGAUAUGAUUAUGUCUCACAUGAGACAUGAUGGAAAGACGGUUUCGGCUGUCACUUAGGGAUGGGCCCGCGGUGCAUUAGCUAGUUGGUGAGGUAACGGCUCACCAAGGCGACGAUGCGUAGCCGACCUGAGAGGGUGAUCGGCCACACUGGGACUGAGACACGGCCCAGACUCCUACGGGAGGCAGCAGUAGGGAAUCUUCCGCAAUGGACGAAAGUCUGACGGAGCAACGCCGCGUGAGUGAAGAAGGUUUUCGGAUCGUAAAACUCUGUUGUUAGGGAAGAACAAGUACGAGAGUAACUGCUCGUACCUUGACGGUACCUAACCAGAAAGCCACGGCUAACUACGUGCCAGCCGCCGCGGUAA
rnacentral:rRNA from 1 species